UACGAAGGGGGCUAGCGUUGCUCGGAAUCACUGGGCGUAAAGGGCGCGUAGGCGGCCAUUCAAGUCGGGGGUGAAAGCCUGUGGCUCAACCACAGAAUUGCCUUCGAUACUGUUUGGCUUGAGUUUGGUAGAGGUUGGUGGAACUGCGAGUGUAGAGGUGAAAUUCGUAGAUAUUCGGAAGAACACCAGUGGCGAAGGCGGCCAACUGGUCCGGUACUGACGCUGAGGUGCGAAAGCGUGGGGAGCAAACAGG
rnacentral:rRNA from 1 species